rnacentral:rRNA from 1 species
CUGAAUGAUAGUCGGGCUGAAGACUCUACUUGACUAGCUGAGAGGAGGUGCAUGGCCGUCGUCAGUUCGUACUGUGAAGCAUCCUGUUAAGUCAGGCAACGAGCGAGACCCACGCAACAGUUGCCAGCUCGUCCUCCGGGAUGGAGGGGACACUGUUGGGGCCGCCUCUGCUAAAGAGAGGAAGGGAAAUGGGCAACGGUAGGUCAGCAUGCCCCGAAUUAUCUGGGCUACACGCGGGCUACAAUGGGUGGGACAAUGGGUAUCGACACCGAAAGGUGAAGGCAAUCUCCUAAACCCAUCCUUAGUUCGGAUUGUGGGCUGCAACUCGCCCACAUGAAGCUGGAAUCUGUAGUAAUCGUGUUUCAAAAUAGCACGGUGAAUAUGUCCCUGCUCCUU